UAACGCGUGGGUAACCUGCCUCAUACAGGGGAGUAACAGUUAGAAAUGACUGCUAAUACCGCACAAGCGCACAGUGCUGCAUGGCACAGUGUGAAAAACUCCGGUGGUAUGAGAUGGACCCGCGUCUGAUUAGCUAGUUGGUGGGGUAACGGCCUACCAAGGCGACGAUCAGUAGCCGGCCUGAGAGGGUGAACGGCCACAUUGGGACUGAGACACGGCCCAAACUCCUACGGAGGCAGCAUG
rnacentral:rRNA from 1 species